UCUCUCUCUCUCUCUCAGAGUCAAUGUCUGUUGCCAUCUCUGUGCGUGUGAAAAUAACAGCCGCAGGUUCUCUCUCCCGUGGAGUCGGGGGCACCUAAAUCAUUUUCAUUGAGUUGGGUUUGCCUCAAUCCUAGUUACUUAAUUCCACUGCUUUCUCUGCUGUGGUGAAGCAAACCGUUCCAUCUCAUAUCACAUAGCAAACUUUUGGCUUUCUUUUUGCACUCACUUGAUAGCUUUCUUUGUUGCUAUCUGAGCUGUUUAUAC
rnacentral:misc_RNA from 1 species